rnacentral:rRNA from 1 species
GAUGAACGCUGGCGGCGUGCCUAAUACAUGCAAGUCGAGCGAACAGACGAGGAGCUUGCUCCUCUGACGUUAGCGGCGGACGGGUGAGUAACACGUGGAUAACCUACCUAUAAUACUGGGAUAACUUCGGGAAACCGGAGCUAAUACCGGAUAAUAUAUUGAACCGCAUGGUUCAAUAGUGAAAGACGGUUUUGCUGUCACUUAUAGAUGGAUCCGCGCCGCAUUAGCUAGUUGGUAAGGUAACGGCUUACCAAGGCAACGAUGCGUAGCCGACCUGAGAGGGUGAUCGGCCACACUGGAACUGAGACACGGUCCAGACUCCUACGGGAGGCAGCAGUAGGGAAUCUUCCGCAAUGGGCGAAAGCCUGACGGAGCCACGCCGCGUGAGUGAUGAAGGUCUUCGGAUCGUAAAACUCUGUUAUUAGGGAAGAACAAAUGUGUAAGUAACUAUGCACGUCUUGACGGUACCUAAUCAGAAAGCCACGGCUAACUACGUG